rnacentral:rRNA from 1 species
AUUGAACGCUGGCGGCAGGCCUAACACAUGCAAGUCGAGCGGCUGAAGAGAACUUGCUUCUGGAUUCAGCGGCGGACGGGUGAGUGAUGCCUAGGAAUCUGCCUGGUUGCGGGGGAUAACGUCCGGAAACAGGCGCUAAUACCGCAUAAGCCCAGAGGGCGUACGUGGGAGAGCUUCGGACCUUACGCCAUCAGGCGAGUCGAGGUCGGAUUAGCUAGUUGGGGGGGUAAAGGCCUACCAAGGCGACGAUCCGUAACUGGUCUGAGAGGAUGAUCAGUCACACUGGAACUGAGACACGGUCCAGACUCCUACGGGAGGCAGCAGUGGGGAAUAUUGGACAAUGGGCGAAAGCCUGAUCCAGCCAUACCGCGUGUGUGAAGAAGGUCUUCGGAUUGUAAAGCACUUUUAUUUGGGAGGAAGAGCAGCAAGUUAAUACCUCGCUGUUCUGACGUUACCAACAGAAUAAGCACCGGCUAACUUCGUG